rnacentral:rRNA from 1 species
AUUGAACGCUGGCGGCAUGCCUUACACAUGCAAGUCGAACGGUAACAGGUCUUCGGAUGCUGACGAGUGGCGAACGGGUGAGUAAUACAUCGGAACGUGCCUAGUAGUGGGGGAUAACUACUCGAAAGAGUGGCUAAUACCGCAUGAGAUCUACGGAUGAAAGCAGGGGAUCGCAAGACCUUGUGCUACUAGAGCGGCCGAUGGCAGAUUAGGUAGUUGGUGGGAUAAAAGCUUACCAAGCCGACGAUCUGUAGCUGGUCUGAGAGGACGAUCAGCCACACUGAGACUGAGACACGGCCCAGACUCCUACGGGAGGCAGCAGUGGGGAGUUUUGGACAAUGGGCGCAAGCCUGAUCCAGCAAUGCCGCGUGCAGGAUGAAGGCCUUCGGGUUGUAAACUGCUUUUGUACGGAACGAAAAGCCCUGGGUUAAUACCCUGGGGUCAUGACGGUACCGUAAGAAUAAGCACCGGCUAACUACGUGCCAGCAGCCGCCGUAACAC